rnacentral:rRNA from 1 species
GAUGAACGCUAGCGGGAGGCCUAACACAUGCAAGCCGAGCGGUAGAGAUCUUUCGGGAUCUUGAGAGCGGCGUACGGGUGCGGAACACGUGUGCAACCUGCCUUUAUCUGGGGGAUAGCCUUUCGAAAGGAAGAUUAAUACCCCAUAAUAUACUGAAUGGCAUCAUUCGGUAUUGAAAACUCUGGUGGAUAGAGAUGGGCACGCGCAAGAUUAGAUAGUUGGUGAGGUAACGGCUCACCAAGUCUACGAUCUUUAGGGGGCCUGAGAGGGUGAUCCCCCACACUGGUACUGAGACACGGACCAGACUCCUACGGGAGGCAGCAGUGAGGAAUAUUGGACAAUGGGUGAGAGCCUGAUCCAGCCAUCCCGCGUGAAGGACGACGGCCCUAUGGGUUGUAAACUUCUUUUGUAUAGGGAUAAACCUACCCUCGUGAGGGUAGCUGAAGGUACUAUACGAAUAAGCACCGGCUAACUCCGUGCCAGCAGCCGCGGUAAUACGGAGGGUGCAAGCGUUAUCCGGAUUUAUUGNGUUUAAAGGGUCCGUAGGCGGAUCUGUAAGUCAGUGGUGAAAUCUCACAGCUUAACUGUGAAACUGCCAUUGAUACUGCAGGUCUUGAGUGUUGUUGAAGUAGCUGGAAUAAGUAGUGUAGCGGUGAAAUGCAUAGAUAUUACUUAGAACACCAAUUGCNA